UGUGAUGCCUCCUUAUGGAACUCCACCUCAUCCGUACGUUACAAUGUAUCCCCCAGGUGGCAUGUACGGCCAUCCUUCAAUGCCUCCGGGGUCUUAUCAAUAUAGCCCCUAUGCUAUGCCUUCUCAAAAUGGAAUGGCCGAAGCUUCUGGGGAUACGAGUGAGGGUGAUGCUACUAAACAAUCUGAAGUGAAGGAAAAAUUUCCGAUCAAAAGAUCAAGAGGAAGCUUGGGAAGUCUCAACAUGAUUACAUGAAAAAACUCUGGAGCAUC